rnacentral:misc_RNA from 1 species
GUGAAUCAUCAAAUUUUUGAACGCAAAAUGCACUCUCCUCGGAGAGUAUGCCUGUUUGAGGGUCAGCCUAUAAAAAUCGACAUCGUUGCUGUUUCGCGGUGGCGUUCGUCGGAAAUUGGGCCAUCUUAAUCCCUUUUGUUUAAAGCGCUUUAAAUUUUUUUUUUGGUCCCUUGAAGUUUCUUAUAUCUAUUUUCUUUCCCUGUUUAUGUUA